rnacentral:rRNA from 1 species
GACGAACGCUGGCGGCGUGCCUAACACAUGCAAGUCGAGCGGGAACCUGAGGAGGGGUAACCCUCUUCAGGGGAGAGCGGCGAACGGGUGAGUAACACGUGGGCAACCUGCCCCGGACACCGGGAUAACCCAGGGAAACCUGAGCUAAUACCGGAUACUCCGGCGCGAUCGCAUGGUCGUGCCGGGAAAGCUCCGACGGUCCGGGAUGGGCCCGCGGCCUAUCAGCUUGUUGGUGGGGUAACGGCCUACCAAGGCUUCGACGGGUAGCUGGUCUGAGAGGACAGCCAGCCACACUGGGACUGAGACACGGCCCAGACUCCUACGGGAGGCAGCAGUGGGGAAUAUUGCACAAUGGGCGCAAGCCUGAUGCAGCAACGCCGCGUGAGGGACGACGGCCUUCGGGUUGUAAACCUCUUUUAGUAGGGAAGAAGCGAAAGUGACGGUACCUGCAGAAAAAGCACCGGCUAACUACGUGCCAGCAGCCGCGGUAAGAC